rnacentral:rRNA from 1 species
ACGAACGCUGGCGGCGUGCUUAACACAUGCCAGUCGCACGGAAAGGCCCUGCUUUUGUGGGGUGCUCGAGUGGCGAACGGGUGAGUAACACGUGAGUAACCUGCCCUUGACUUUGGGAUAACUUCAGGAAACUGGGGCUAAUACCGGAUAGGAGCUCCUGCUGCAUGGUGGGGGUUGGAAAGUUUCGGCGGUUGGGGAUGGACUCGCGGCUCAUCAGCUUGUUGGUGGGGUAGUGGCUUACCAAGGCUUUGACGGGUAGCCGGCCUGAGAGGGUGACCGGCCACAUUGGGACUGAGAUACGGCCCAGACUCCUACGGGAGGCAGCAGUGGGGAAUAUUGCACAAUGGGCGGAAGCCUGAUGCAGCAACGCCGCGUGCGGGAUGACGGCCUUCGGGUUGUAAACCGCUUUCGCCUGUGACGAAGCGUGAGUGACGGUAAUGGGUAAAGAAGCACCGGCUAACUACGUG